rnacentral:tRNA from 1 species
GAUCCUUUAGUAUAAUUAAGUAUGCUCGACUUCCAAUCGAGAGGCAACAAGGAUUA